AUUGUUUACAUUCACCAAUCAGCACAUGCAAGAUUCCUUAAAUAUUAAGUUAAAUCUCAGUGUUAGCAUAUUUUAAUGCUCACUGCAUUGUAUUUUGAAAAUAAACUGUAAGAUAUAUAAUGUUGAGAUUUUAGUCAAUAAUUCCAUUUUUUUAUACACUGCCAUCUUAGUGAAUGUCUUGUUGGUACCUGAGGAACCAUAUCCAGACUCUCAAAGUAUCUCUGUAAUCCUUUGCAGCAUUCUGAGAUACUUUCUUCAAUGGUCCUUCUACUUCCCCACAGAAAUGCCCCCUAUCUAUGAGACAUACUAGCCUGAAAUCACAUUCAUUCUGGAAAUUUUCACAUUAAUUACUAUUAAUACAUUUCAUGAGUAUGUUAGGGAUUAUUGCAUCUCCUGAAUUAUUAAUUUAAACUGUUGAUAAAACUUUAACAUCUCAUAAACUCAGUUUUUGACUUUUCAAAGUUUCAAUGGGACUCCAAGUCCCUUCAGAGCAAAGAGCAAGUGUUGAUUGUGUAAUAAACUUGCUUAGUUGUGUGUGUAUAUUAUAGCUACAGCCCACAGGAAAGUAAAUAAAGAUUAUUUCUAAGAUUCAUAAAACCUAUAGUCAUAAAAAUAUUAAGAUAAGGGCUAGCAAGAUGGUCCUUAGGCUAAGAACACUGCCUAUACAAUCUUGAAGAUCUAAGUUAAAUGCCUGGAAUGCAAGGUUCCCAAGAAGAGAGCAAGUUCUCACAAGUUAUUGUCUGAUCCCCUCCAUAUACAUGAUGUCUCAUGCAUGAGCCUAUCUACACAAGAGACGCCUGGGAAGAUUGCUGGGCGGUUAAAACAUUUGCUAUAUAAGCAUGAAGACGAGAGUUUGGAUCCCCAGAUCCCACAUAAAUGUAGAGCUUGGAGGCCUACCUAUAAUUCUAGUGUUCAGAAGGUAGACACAAGAGAUCAUCAAAGCAAUCUGGCUUCCCUGCCUAUCCAUACUGGUGAGCUUUGUAUUCGAGUAAAUGACUGCCUCAAUUAAUAGUGUAGACAAUGACUAAGAAAGACCCCAGCUAGAUUUUUGCUGUAUAUUUACCUGUAACAUUUAAGCAACAACCUUGGGAAUUGUGUGUUAAAUACUAAAGUGGUCCUGACCAUUUGAGAGUUUAGGGGAGGCUGGGAUGCACUGUCAAUGGGGUUGGGAUUUAAGAUGGGUCUAUGAGUCUGAAUAGUACUAAGACAAAGGAGAAGAAAGAAAGGUGUUUAAGACUGAGAGAAAUGUAUGUGUUCAGAAGACUGUAUAUUGAACACAUAGAAAUUGCAAGACUGAUCUGUUAGGCUGGGUUGUAGAAAACCAUAAACAUUGUAUAAAUGACAGUAUCUUAGAUAUUAGGAAAUUAUUAAAGGAAUUUUUGCUUAUAGUGAUAGCGUGAAAAGGCUGAUUAAAGGAAUUAAUUUGAAAGUUAUGAGAGAGAGUAGUAGAGUUAUUCUGUAAUAAGAAAAUAUAGCUUCUAAAAUUUUUGAAUUUUUAACCCCUCUCUUAAGUUUUAACCCAAAUAAAAUUUAUUAUUUUUGGAAGCAAAUUUAAGGGGAAAAGACUAAAAGGAGUGAAAUUCUACCAAAUGUCAAGCUAUAUUUAGUGGCCAGAACUAGCCAGGAAGGCAUAGCUUUGUGAGACAAAUCAAAUCUCUGGAUUUGCAUUCAAUAAACAAGCUUAGGUAUUAAGUCAGUCAUUUACAUUUAUGAUAGGCAAUAUCCUAAUAAAUAAUUUCCAGCUGUACUGCAUUAUUUGAUAUCACUCCUAUGUUACUACCACUAUAUUAAAUGAAAGUAGUAAAACAAGUCUUAUAUUUUGUUGAUGAACUCUAUGUUUUGUUAUGGAUUUGUCAUUACGUGGGCUUAUGUCAUUUUCACAUCACUUACCAGAUUCAACACAUUAUCAAAGUUGUUGACAUUUCUGUUUCGAGUGCAUUUUAAUGUCAGUUUAUACAUGGAAAAGAAUGAAAAACUCCAACAGGGACAUUGAUAGUUGGAGAAAAGUAGGCCUUCCUCAGAGCUCAAGUGAGCAAGAAAGAAGAGUCCUCAUAAAAUCUGAGACAACUAGACCCAAUGCUCAAGAAAUUGCCUCAGAAAUUAUUUCCUAUAACUUUUAAUUUCUUGUGGGAUACAUGAUAAUUUUCAAAGGUUAAAGGCGAUCAAUGAAGGUAACAUCAGAGAAAAGCCAGCUGACAAUUAACUGGUUUGGAAGCAGAUUGUGUAGUCUCUGAAACACUGCAGAGCAUCUUGACUAUAACUCAAAGUACAAGUCCUGUGCAAGUCCUGUACAGUUAUUUGUCAUAGAGCUCCAAUCUGUUUUAAUAGCAAGGAUUGGUUUGAGGACAUAUGUUCACCAAUGCAUUUGUCCAAUGACUAUUCACUGAGUGACUAAAUUUCAGGCUAUAAACGAUAAAAUAGAACCAUGUAGAAUGAAAGAGAACGUCGAGACCAGAAAGGUGAUGAGGGUCAGAAUGUUUCAUUUUAAGCGUUUGUGGUAGAAAUUCCUUGACUUUUUAUACAGGCUCCAGUGGAAGAAUAGAAGUCCCUCCCCUCUUCUGCCCACAGGCCAGAUCAAAGCAUGCAGAUGAUGCCACCACCUACUUUGCAGUGUGGUUGCAUGGCCAAAUGAAACUGAGCCCAUCAAAGUGAAGUAGGACAUCAAAGCAAUUCUCAAAGUUCAUGACCUGCUUCUGGCUUGAAUGAUCUCUGUUUGGGUAUACAGUGAGAAAGGAGCGAGUGAGACACAAGGAAAUGCAAGGUGGGUACAACUUGAAGACAGAAAAGCACCAGAAAAUUUGCUGUUGGAGCCAAGGCUUAUUCUGAAACUGACAAAGAGAUUAAGAAGAUUCCCGAUUCACACUGGAAUUAAAAGAGGACGCCAAGCUUCCAAAGUAGAAAAGGAAAAGGCCUCAGGAAGUUUCAUACUUUAGAGUCAUGGGUCCUCCUGAGUCUGCUCCACCACAGGGCUCAGUGUGUCACUUGGGGAGUCAGGACAAGGGAGCUGGCAGUGCUUGCCCCACGCUAUUACCAGACAGGUGUUGGGCUGUAGGGCACCGCUCUGGGCGUGAGAAAACACAAUCUGAGGCACAGGACAGCUGGAGCUGGCUUGGGGUCUCCAGGCCUGUAACUGUCUGGUUCUCAGGCUCGUGGGCACCCAGGUGCCACUGGAAGCUGCAGAAGAGCCGAGAAUGGAGGGGAGCCCUACAGGCUGGAUCUGUCUUGGGAAUGGAGGGGAAAGGGAGGAGCUCUAACUGGUCCUGCAGGACUAGUCCUUGGUCUUGGCUUGAUGGUGGUGGGCUUGAGCUUGGUGGUGGUUGUGGCUGGGAGCACAGAGAGGCCUUCUAUGGGAGGACUAGACUGCUGCUGCUCUAUAGGCGAAGACCUUCUCUGUGGCUCCCCUUGGUGGAUCCUGGUAAAAAGAGAGAGUCCGUGGUUUUAAGGCAUUUAUUGUCAGGGCAGAAAGUGCAUGUGUAAAAUCAUACCCCACUUCUCAGGGUGGGCUGAGAUUAAAUACCUUUUGCAGGCAGGAAUGUCUGGGAAGGAAAUCUUAUUGGCUAACUCUCCAGGCCUUUAGGUACCUCAUUAAAAUGGAGAACUGUCUUCAGUCUAUGUGACCACAGGUCACAUUCUCUACAUAUAGAGGGGCUUGGGCCAUUCCCUUAUGUGACUGCUGGCCACAAAUCUAUGGGGGGGAUGCAGCUAGUGACAGAAGCCUGUUGCCCGGAAACAGGUGAAGUGCCUACUGUCCCUUCGGGGUUUCCGGGGUAUCAAGCCUUAGCUCAACUGGAGACCAAGCUACCUUUCACAGUCCCACAUGUACCUCUAAGAAACAACAAAUGAAAGCUGUUGAAACGUGAUUCACGCACGGGUCAGGCAGGUUUGGUGACGUAGGUCACAUGGUUCUGGCUUCAGAAUAGUGGAAGCGUGAAGAGAAUGUAGACUCUCCCUCAAAAGUUAUGGAGACUUAUUGAUGCCAGGCAUGUGGCCGGGGAGUCUCUGUAUUGAGGUCCUGAGAGGCCUUUGCAUGAAGCUGUUAAAAUGAUGCCUGGAUUGUGUUGGGGACUUCAAGAUGUUGGAGAUGUCAGAGCCAUGAGACAGGGAGUAGAAUAUGGUUAUUUUAUUUGGCUUUGACAAUUACUGGGGGGGGAUGUAACUCCUAAUCUACUCUUCUAGCUGCUGGCCUGGCUACCUCCCCAGUGGUGUCCCCCAGAUACUGGCUGGUUCUCUUGGCCUUGUGCUCUUGGUUCCUUGCCCCUCAUGGCAGCUUCCUCCUCUCUCCCAUCUUCUUUCUCCUCAUUCCUCCCCACCCAACCAGGUCAUUCCAAACCCAUCUACCUCCAAUCCUUCUAGUAAUUGGCUGUUGCCAAUUUUAUUUAACCAAGUUUUAAAUCAAGGUACAAGGUUUGCACAACAAAAAGCUUAUAAACUUGAGUAGGCCCAUACCUUCGGGCAGAGAAUUUAGCAAUACAAUGCAUAGCAACAGCCCAAACCUCAACAAAAACCAGUCCAAGAGAAAGAUGUGAUCUGGAAUAAGCAAAUCCAGAAGGGUGAAGUCAUCUAAGCCCUUUGACAUGGGACAUGGAGCUUCAAGGAUUUGGAAUUUGCCCUGGUGGGUCUUGCUUUGGUCUGGUAUUUCCUCACUAUGUCAUCAUUUCUCCCAUUUUGGAAUGAUAAUAUGUAUUCAAUGGCAUUGUAUAUUGAAAGUAUGUGAUUUAGUACUUCAUUUUACAGGAGGUUGCAAUUAAGAGACUACUUUGAGUUCAGAAGAGACUUUGGGCCUUCAAACUGUGUUGAGACUGCGAAAGAUUAUAGAGACUUUUGAAGAUGGAUUAAAUCUAUUUUGCAUUCUAUGGGCACAAACCUAUGGGGUCAGAGAGUGGAAUAGGGUGGUUUGGAUGAGAAGAGUCCCAUAUUGACUUUCAUGUUUAAAUACUCCAUCUACAGUUGGAGGUACUGUUCGGGAAGGAUUAGAAGAUACGGUCUUGUUGGAGGAGAUGUGCUGUGGGGCUGGUCUUCGAGAGCUUCCAGUCAUUCUUAGUAAAGUCUAUUUCCUGUCUGUAAAUUAUAAUGUGAGCUCUCAACUACUGCUCCAGAACCAUGAAUGUCUGCCUGCUGCCAUGUUCCCUACCGUGAUAGUGACAGUCACCUAACUCCCAGGAACUACAAGCUCCAAAUAAGCCAACCUCUAUUGUCUUAAUCAAUGUGACUUUAUCACAGCAAUAGAAAAAUAACUAACACACCAUGUAAAAAUGCUAUGAUGGGAGCAAAGUAGAUUGUUUAAAGGCAGACAAGGAUUGUGUUAGUAAAACAAGGUACUAUAUAACAAAGAUGACAAUAGCCAUGCAUGAUUCAACUUAGCAAUUCUUUCUUCAUAUUAUUACCUUUCUAUUUGUUUUAUGUGUUGAGCAUGCACAUAUGCUUAUGUGUUUAUGUGUUGUGUGUUCACAUGUAGCAGUGUGCAUGCUGUUCUUUUCUUCUACUGUGAUGGUUACGGAGACUGAACUCAGAUCUCAGACGUGGUAAAGGUUACCUUUACCCAUAAGCUGUCCUGUUAGCCCUAAUUUAGUAAUUUCUAUUUGAUCUCUUAGUUAUUAUCAUGCAGAUUCUUAAGCCAAGGUUAUUUGGGAAUUUAAAUUAUCUAGGUUAGUAUUUUUAAACUUUGCAGUGUGCAUGCAAAUGUGUAAUCUCACAUUAAGUGAGGUUAGAAAAAGUAACGUAAAAUACAGGAACAAAAAUGGAGGAAAGACUGAAGGAAAAGCCACCCAGUGUAUCCCAUAUGCAGGCACCAAACCCUGAUUCUAUUCUAUUAAUGAUGCCAUGUUGGGCUGGAAGACAGGAGCCUAACAUGGUUGUCCUCUGAGAGGCUCUAUCAGCAGCUAGCAGAGACAGAUGCAGAUAUUUAAACCAACCAUUGGAUUCCUAUGAAAAAGCUAGGGGAAGGACUAAAGGACCUGAAGGGGAUUUCAACCCCAUAGGAAGAACAACAGUAUCAACUAAACGGACCCCUUAGAACUACCAGAGACUAAGCCACCAGUCAAAGAGCAUACAUGGACUGGUCCAUGGCCCCCACUACAUAUGUAACAGAGGACUGCCUUCUCUGGCCUCAGCGGGAAGUGAUGCUCUUAAUCCUGUAGAAACUUAAUGCCUCAGGGAAGGGGGAUGCUAGUGGGUGAGGUGGAAGUAGGUAAGUAAGUGAGAAGCAAAAGGAAGGGGUAAUGAGUUGAAGAACUCAUGGAGGGGUGACCAGGAAGUUGGGGCAACAUUUGGGAUGUAAAUAAAUAAAAUAAUUAACAAAAAUGAAAGAAAGGGCAACAUGAGAAUUUUAGGAAACAUGCAUUGCCAAACAGUUAUUGAAUAAAUACUUAUAGGUAAACAUGUUUUAGUUCUGCAUGUUAUAUAAACAAGUAAGAGAUGACAAUCACAAAUUCUGAACUACUCUAAAACACGUUUGUCUUAAAAUUAGAAUUUUAAAGGUGCUUUAAUACUUGUCAAAGCCUAUGAGAAAUGUAUAGAUGAGUUAUAUCUAAAGAAAAAAGUGAGGAAUGCCUUUAGUUGAAAUUGUUCAUUGUACUUUGAGAUUAUUCAAGAAAGGAAUUUUGUAAGACCACAUCAUUAUUAUAAUAAAAAUAUUUAUUAUAAAAUAAUCACAUUUCUUUGCAUAUAAACUAAAAACAUAAAUGUAAUUCACACAUUAAUAAGUUAAGUGGGCCUAGGCAUUUAGCAUCCAUCUACUAGAGUUUAAAGUCUCCUGUGGGUUCAUAAAUAAUAGGGAAGGUAUUUUGAUUUAAUUUACACAGUUGAUGCUAUUGAGAUCUUAAAGCUUUUCUCUAUUACUUUACACAUAGCUCGUGGUAUUUGGGCUAAUUAACCAAAUGCCUUAGAUCUUUGGUAAACACAAGUAUUCAUGUGCACAAACGUGUAGCUGAAAUUUCAGUGAAAACAUCAAUAACAAAACAAUGAUACGAGAGAUAACCCAAAUGCCGAGAGUUUGUGUGAUCAAUCAAAGUUAUUGUCCACAACUUUUAUGGAUCACAUCUGAAAUGCAAAACAAAUAGUUGUGGCUCCUGUUGUCACAACCAGAAGCACCUCAGCUCUAA